CCGACACCUCCCUCCUCAGGCCGUGUACCCGCCGGCCGCGCUGCGGGGUUUGCGGGUCCUUCGGGCAGCUGGUGCCGGCCCGGGGCGGCGGGGGCGCUGUCCCCGGAGCCGGUGGCUGCCGCGGCGGAGAGGGACCUUCAUUCCUGUGAGCUGCCCAAACAGAAGUGAUACUUUUGGAGGGAGUGUGGUGGAGCCGUGUCACGCUGGGUCUACAUUCAGCUGAAGCGAGUGGUGGGAGUGAUGAACCCCCUCCCUCCUACUGAUCUCGAGGGCAUGGUGACCACAGCCUGCUAAAGAUGCUCUUAUUGAUAUUAUCAAUUUCAUUGUGAUCGUUUCAACACUGGUUCUGGAAAUGAAACCUGCAUGGGUGCACAUUCAGAAUUAUUGAAAGGCAAAAGUCCUCCGGAUAGCAAGGAUCAGAAGAUCGAGAGAGAAGGACAGAGAUGGAGGAAGGGGAAAAAACUAAAAAUAAUACCGAUAUACUUGUUUUUUCCAAAGAAUGAUGCCUGGUGUAAUACAUAGCUGAAAAACAGGUAUUGGGGAAUGGAUUUUUGACGUGUGCCUCAGCUCUGAAACGUGGUAUCAUCCCCACUAAACUGGAUUUACCAGGACUGCUCCAGCUGCAUGAUGUGUUUGUCAGACUGGUGAGAAAAUCAGGGUUUGAUGCUACUUUGUCAGAUUUCAUACAGCCACUUGGGCAGCUGAAACCUGUUCUGUCGUACUGCACCUGCUGCAAUAAAGCUUCGUUCACUGGGCUUCAGUGUGCUCCUCAUGUGGCAUAAAAGGGGGCAUCAAGACCACGCAGCUGGCACUUCAAGCUGUGUUUGCCUUGGUGUGUGUUCCCAUAGUUGAUGCACUGACAAGACAUACCCCAGUCUUAUACAUAAAUACAUUUGUGUUGCUGGAUACCCAGAAAAAUGUUUGUUGCGGAUUGAAAUGUGUUUCCUUUAGUCUGACUAAAUGAUAAUGUCAAGUCCAAGGGGUAUCAUGUACCCAGGUUUUCCUGAACACAUUCUCUUUUCUUGCUGGAGAUUAUUUCUGCAUGCAGUAUGAGAAUUCUUUACAGUUGUCCAGGAUUUCUCUGUGUCUGGUAAUGCUGUCGAGGCCCACAGAGCACAGACUUUGGCUGCAUACCGUGUAUUCAGUGAAUAUGAUACUUUCAGAAAAUGCCAGACUUGCUGUGUGUUUGUGAUAAAGUCUCUGUAGCUGCACAGUGGGUCUGGCGAUCCUCGAGGGUUUGGGAUGAACCUUCUUUGAAUGUACAACUCUGCAGCUCUUGCUGUCUGUUCUUUCUCAGAAGUGUGGGACAAAUAAUCUGUGCACAUGUGCUUCUAUGAGUGGAUUCCUAAGAAUGCGAUAGCCUUAAUCCCCUAGCUGUCUGCUGACUACCUGUCUGUGCUGGAUUUGAGAGGACCUGGGAUUUCCAUGCACUGUUUUCUAGCACUCAGACUGACAACAGCAAUGUGCUGCAUAGAUUUCAGUGAGGUCUUGACUCCUCAUCAUUCCGAGGGAACAGAAAACUCAUUUGAGUAUGAGAAUUGAUGACUGCAUGUGUCUAGCUAGAAUAAAAUAUUCA